AGUGAACGCUGGCGGUAGGCCUAACACAUGCAAGUCGAACGGCAGCACAGUAAGAGCUUGCUCUUACGGGUGGCGAGUGGCGGACGGGUGAGGAAUACAUCGGAAUCUACUUUUUCGUGGGGGAUAACGUAGGGAAACUUACGCUAAUACCGCAUACGACCUACGGGUGAAAGCAGGGGAUCUUCGGACCUUGCGCGAUUGAAUGAGCCGAUGUCGGAUUAGCUAGUUGGCGGGGUAAAGGCCCACCAAGGCGACGAUCCGUAGCUGGUCUGAGAGGAUGAUCAGCCACAUUGGAACUGAGACACGGUCCAGACUCCUACGGGAGGCAGCAGUGGGGAAUAUUGGACGAUGGGCGCAAGCCUGAUCCAGCCAUACCGCGUGGGUGAAGAAGGCCUUCGGGUUGUAAAGCCCUUUUGUUGGGAAAGAAAAGCAGCAGGUUAAUACCCCGCUGUUCUGACGGUACCCAAAGAAUAAGCACCGGCUAACUUCGUG
rnacentral:rRNA from 1 species